rnacentral:rRNA from 1 species
GGGGGGGCAAGCGUUGUUCGGAAUUACUGGGCGUAAAGGGCGCGCAGGCGGCCCGGCCAGUCCCUUGUGAAAUCCCACGGCUCAACUGUGGAACUGCAGGGGAUACUGCCAGGCUUGAGUCCGGGAGAGGGUAGUGGAAUUCCCAGUGUAGCGGUGAAAUGCGUAGAUAUUGGGAGGAACACCGGUGGCGAAGGCGGCUACCUGGACCGGUACUGACGCUGAGGCGCGAAAGCUAGGGGAGCAAACGGGAUUAGAUACCCCGGGUAGUCCUAGCUGUAAACGUUGAGCACUUGGUGUGGCGGGUAUCGACCCCCCUGCUGUGCCGAAGCUAACGCAUUAAGUGCUCCGCCUGGGGAGUACGGUCGCAAGGCUG